GGGGGCGUGCCCGAGCGGCCGAAGGGGCUCGCCUGGAAAGCGAGCAGGCGUCCUGCGCCUCGAGGGUUCGAAUCCCUCCGCCCCCGCCA
rnacentral:tRNA from 1 species